rnacentral:rRNA from 1 species
UACGUAGGGUGCGAGCGUUAAUCGGAAUUACUGGGCGUAAAGCGUGCGCAGGCGGUUUUGUAAGCCAGAUGUGAAAUCCCCGGGCUUAACCUGGGAAUGGCAUUUGGGACUGCAAGGCUGGAGUGCGGCAGAGGAGACUGGGAUUCCUGGUGUAGCAGUGAAAUGCGUAGAUAUCAGGAGGAAUACCGAUGGCGAAGGCAGGUCUCUGGGCUGACACUGACGCUCAUGCACGAAAGCGUGGGGACAAACAGGAUUAGAAAACCCCGAG